UGUGACUUAAGAAUGGCUCUGUAAUUUCUGUUUGGAGAGCCUUUACACGAUGCCUAAACUAAAAGUCAUUUUAUCAAAUUCUGAUUGAAUGACAGCGGCAGACAACCGUAAGGAUGGAUCCACAAACGAGUGGCUCAGAAUGCUGCUUGUUUACUGACUUCAUCCUACAUGC